rnacentral:rRNA from 1 species
GACGAACGCUGGCGGCGUGCUUAACACAUGCAAGUCGAACGGUGAACCUCUUCGGAGGGGAUCAGUGGCGAACGGGUGAGUAACACGUGGGCAACCUGCCCCCGGCUCUGGGAUAACUCCAAGAAAUUGGGGCUAAUACCUGAUGUUCACCGCUUCCCGCAUGGGUGGUGGUGGAAAGGGUUUCCGGCUGGGGAUGGGCCCGCGGCCUCUCAGCUGGUUGGUGGGGUAGUGGCCUACAAAGGCGACGACGGGUAGCCGGCCUGAGAGGGUGACCGGCAACACGGGGUCGGAGACACGGCCCGGACUCUUAGGGGGGGAAGAGGGGGGGAAUAUUGAGAAAGGGGGGGAGGCCUGACGAGGGGCGGCGGGGGGGGGGAUGACGGCCUCCGGGUUGAAACCUUUUUCCAGAAGGGAGGAAGGGGAAGGGCGGUAACCGGAAGAAGAGGCACGGGCAAAUUCGGG